AGUCUUACAACCACUAUCCGCCAGGGGACUACAAGCAUCAGCUUGAAACCCAAAGGACUUGGCGGUGCUUUAGAUCCACCUAGAGGAGCCUGUUCUAGAACCGAUAACCCCCGUUUAACCUCACCUCCCCUUGUUAAUACCGCCUAUAUACCACCGUCGUCAGCUUACCCUGUGAGGGACUAAUAGUAAGCUAAACUGGUACAACCCUGAACGUCAGGUCGAGGUGUAGCGAAUGAGGAGGGAAGAAAUGGGCUACAUUCGCUACAACAGCGAACACGAAUGAUGUCCUGAAAUGAACAUCUGAAGGAGGAUUUAGCAGUAAGUAGAAAAUAGAGCGUUCCACUGAAAUUGGCCCUGAAGCGCGCACACAUCGCCCGUCACUCUUCCCAAGCCUAAUGACAUAAUUAACUAAAAAUUAA
rnacentral:rRNA from 1 species